AAAUUUGAUUUAUGGUUUGGUGGGUAGGGAGGCCCGCACAGGCAAGUCCUGCAAAGUAAGGCAGUGUCAGUGCCCGCGCCAGCCUCUUUCCCCUACAAAAAUUGCCGUGCAGGUUUUGACCCCGCACCGCGAGCGGCUCUCACCGCACCGCUUUGUUUUCCUUACUCAUUAGUUUAA
rnacentral:snRNA from 1 species